GGCCGCGGGAAUUCGAUUCAGGCCUAACACAUGCAAGUCGAGCGGUAGAGAGAAGCUUGCUUCUCUUGAGAACGGCGGACGGGUGAGUAAUGCCUAGGAAUCUGCCUGGUAGUGGGGGAUAACGUUCGGAAACGGACGCUAAUACCGCAUACGUCCUACGGGAGAAAGCAGGGGACCUUCGGGCCUUGCGCUAUCAGAUGAGCCUAGGUCGGAUUAGCUAGUUGGUGAGGUAAUGGCUCACCAAGGCUACGAUCCGUAACUGGUCUGAGAGGAUGAUCAGUCACACUGGAAGGGAGACACGGUCCAGACUCCUACGGGAGGCAGCAGUGGGGAAUAUUGGACAAUGGGCGAAAGCCUGA
rnacentral:rRNA from 1 species